rnacentral:rRNA from 1 species
AGCAGCCGCGGUAAUUCCAGCUCCAAUAGCGUAUAUUAAAGUUGUUGCAGUUAAAAAGCUCGUAGUUGAAUUUCGGGGUCAGCAAGUUGGUCGUGCCACCGGUAUGCACUGGCUUUGCUGAUUCCUCCCUCUUGUAGAACCGUAAUGCCAUUAAUUUGGUGUUGCGGGGAAACAGGACUGUUACUUUGAAAAAAUUAGAGUGUUUAAAGCAGGCUAACGCCUGAAUACAUUAGCAUGGAAUAAUGAAAUAGGACGUUCGAUCUUAUUUUGUUGGUUUCUAGGGUUGACGUAAUGAUUAAUAGGGACAGUUGGGGGCAUUAGUAUUCAAUUGUCAGAGGUGAAAUUCUUGGAUUUAUUGAAGACUAACUACUGCGAAAGCAUUUGCCAAGGAUGUUUUCAUUAAUCAAGAACGAAAGUUAGGGGGUCGAAGACGAUCAGAUACCGUCGUAGUCUUAACCAUAAACUAUGCCGACUAGGGAUCGGAUGAUGUUAAUUUUUUAAUGACUCA